GAGAGUUAAGGGAAGGGAGGGAGUGAAGGAGAUGUGAGGGAGGUUGGGAACAUUAGGAAAUGCCUUUGUACUGCAGUGGACCAAUAAUAAUGGCUGAGGAGGAGGAGGAGAAGGAAGAGGGAGGGAUGUACACCUUUCAUAGGAAGCUCAGUCACAGCAAACAGGAGUCACUGAGGAGCUCUGUGCCUUGUCUUCAGAGGCCGUGGUGCUGAGUGAGUCUCCGAGGCUGUGUCUGGUGUGUGACGAGCAGGUGGAGCAACACGCAGCCUUACGGAAGGGGAACAUCCAGAGCGGCCAGAGUGCAUCCAGCGGGUGUGGGAGAUGCUGGGGCGAGGCCAGCGGCUGCAGAGUGGCAUGGGUGACGCAGAGGCUCUCACUCAGGUGGUGCUGCCCGUGGCCUUCCAGUUCAACCCACAGCUGGUCCUGGUCACUGCCAGCCUUGAUGUUGGUGCGGGGACCCACUUGGAGGUUACCGCGCGAGUCCUGGUUGCUGUGGACAUAUGAUGGCCCUUCUGUCUGGCCUGGCCGAGGACCGCAUAGUUCUGGCACUGGAGGGCGGCUUCAACCUCACCACCAUCAGCUACUGUAUGACGCUGUGUGCCAAGGCCUUGCUGGGGGAUCUGCUGCCCCCCCUUGAGCCCCAGCUGGUGCCCAACAAGUGCCGUGCAGACCACCAAUGGCGUCAUCCGUACCCACAGCCGCUACUGGCUGGCGCUCUGCUUCAAGGUGAGUGUGAGGGUCUUUAAUCCGACCACUGCAAUUGGCACGGAUUUGGCCUUCACUGGUAGCCUGGUAACAUACAGUCCCAGGUCUUUCUCUGCCUCUGUGGUGAUAGUGGAGUGUUUCCCAUGUGGUAUUGGUGUGCUGGAUAUCCCCUCCCAAGGUGCAGGACUUUACAUUUUUCUUCAGUGAAUUGUAGCAGACACUUUUUGUUCCAUUGCUGUAGCUUGGUGAGGUCUUCUUGUAGGAAAUCCAGUCAAGGGGUUAAGGGGCAGGACUGGUGAAAGUUACCCCUCAUGUCCUGCUGGUGUGUUCUGUGCAGGUAGUGUUGUCAGCACAUAAUAUAGAAAGCUGCCUCAUUUCCAGAACUAUAUAUUGGACAUGUAUUA